UCGAGCGAUUUACUUCGGUAAAGAGCGGCGGACGGGUGAGUAACGCGCGUUUUAACCUGCCCUGUACACACGGAUAACAUACCGAAAGGCAUGCUAAUACGAGAUAAAAUACUUUUAUCGCAUGGUAGAAGUAUCAAAGCUUUUGCGGUACAGGAUGGACCCGCGUCUGAUUAGCUAGUUGGUAGGGUAACGGCUUACCAAGGCGACGAUCAGUAGCCGACCUGAGAGGGUGAUCGGCCACAUUGGAACUGAGACACGGUCCAAACUCCUACGGGAGGCAGCAGUGAGGAAUAUUGCACAAUGGGCGAAAGCCUGAUGCAGCAACGCCGCGUGAGCGACGAAGGCCUUCGGGUCGUAAAGCUCUGUCCUCAAGGAAGAUAAUGACGGUACUUGAGGAGGAAGCCCCGGCUAACUACGUGCCAGCAGCCGCGGUAAUACGUAGGGGGCUAGCGUUAUCCGGAAUUACUGGGCGUAAAGGGUGCGUAGGUGGUUUCUUAAGUCAGAGGUGAAAGGCUACGGCUCAACCGUAGUAAGCCUUUGAAACUGGGGAACUUGAGUGCAGGAGAGGAGAGUGGAAUUCCUAGUGUAGCGGUGAAAUGCGUAGAUAUUAGGAGGAACACCAGUUGCGAAGGCGGCUCUCUGGACUGUAACUGACACUGAGGCACGAAAGCGUGGGGAGCAAACAGGAUUAGAUACCCUGGUAG
rnacentral:rRNA from 1 species